rnacentral:sRNA from 1 species
ACUUCCUUAUUGUUAUACAAAAAUACACACUCAUGACUAAACAUUUGGAAAAUAUGUAAAAAUGUAGAAAAAAGCAAAAAUAUCUCAGAAUGGCAUCUCUCAUAUAUUACCAUGGAUUAUAGGUUUGGUUUUGAGAGUUUUUUCUAAUGUAAUUGAGAUCGGGACCCGGGGAUUAGAGUCCCUGUAUUACCCACUUAACAUGAAAUUGUGCAUUUUCCCCUCCAUGUCAUUACAAACUAGUUGGCAACUGUGUGUAACGGCAGCAUGCCAAAGAAGCCCUUUCUAGCAGUAAGGGAUGUCUAGCAAUGGAGUAGGCUGUCUGGAGAAGUGGUGAGCUCCCCAUCUCUUGAGGUAGGCAAGCAGAGUCUUGAAGGAGCUGAGGAGGGGCCCAGCACCAUACGGGACUGGAGUGGCCUGGCCCUGAGAACCCACGAAAUCUAUUGUCUGGCUAGGCGAGGCUAUUCCACGUGAAUCGCCAAACGACCCCAGACUCCAGUGUCCUGAACGUCCGUUGCUCCUGCCUGCGGGCAUGCACAGAAAUCUCCUCUCAUACGCUCAUCUUUUGCUCAUCCUUUGCAUGUUCUGGCCUCCCAGAAAAUCACAGAGCAGUUCUUCCGCAACCCAGCGAAGCCCGCGGAGGAGGACGUGGCAGAGCGCGUGUUUCUGGUUGCGGAGGAGCGCAUCCAGCUGCGCUACCACUGCCGUGAGGACCACAUCACCGCCUCCAAGCGCGAGUUCCUGCGGCGCACCGAGGUGGACAACAAGGGCAACAAGAUCAUCAUGACGCCCGACAUGUGCAUCAGCUUCGAGGUGGGCCUGGGGGCCACGGCGGGCAGGGGUCGGGUGCAGGAGGAGCUGGGGCUCUCUGUCUUAUUCCAGCAACUUGGGAGAACCAGGAUGGGCGCUGGUGAAUCCCAGCCAGGAAAUUCAUCUUUGCUCCUUGGGAAAACCAAAAGUUCCCCAUCUGGGGACCCUUCUCUUUGAGUUCCUCUGAAAAUCUUCCUUUUCCACCAAAAAAAGAGAACUCAGCAGGCUAAGACGACUCUGCACUCCUGGUCAGGGCAAACCUCAGAUCCUAGGGAGGCUCUGUGGGAGGGGAAGAGUCUCACUACCUCUGAAGGGCUAGCCUUCCUAGUCAAACCCUCACUCUCCCGGCACAGUCCCCAGCUUUUCUGAGUCAUCAGUUCCUCUUUUAUUAUUAUCUGUAGUUUUAUAAGUGAGAAAAUUAAGACUCAGAGAGGUUUAGCAACUUGCUAGAGGUCACACAGCUAGAAAGUGGCAGGGGUAGAUUUGAACCCAGGUGGUCCUAUGCCCGGAUCAUGGCAGCCUCUCUGUGUUACUGAGGUGGUUGUUGUCCCAGGUGGAGCCCAUGGAGCACACCAAGAAGCUGCUCUACCAGUACGAGGCCAUGAUGCACCUGAAGAGGGAGGAGAAGCUGUCCAGACAUCAGGUCUGGGAGUCAGAGCUGGAGGUAGGGUCCUAUGGGACAGUGAGCAGGUGGGCGGUAUCUUUGUUUUGGAGAUAGGGUCUCGCUCUAUAACCCAGACUGGAAUGCAGUGGCACAAUUAUGGCUCUACAUCCCGGGCUCAGGUGGUCCUCCCACCUCAUCCUCCCAGGUAACUGGGACCACUAGUGCACACCACCAUGCCCGGCUAAUUUCUUGUUUUUGUUUUUGUUUUUUUAACAGAUGGGGUUUUUCCAUUUUGCCCAGGCUGGUCUCAAACUCCUGAACUCAUGCAAUCUGCCCUCCUUGGCUUCCCAAAGUGCUGGGGUUACAGGAGUGGGAGGUGUCUUCAUCAUGCCCUCCAACACUUCUCAUUUCAGGUGCUGGAGAUUCUGAAGCUUCGAGAGGAAGAGGAGGCAGCGCACACACUGACCAUCUCCAUCUAUGACACCAAGCGGAAUGAAAAGAGCAAGGAGUAUCGGGAGGCCAUGGAGCGCGUGAUGCAUGAAGAGCACCUGAGGCAGGUGGAGACCCAGCUGGACUACCUGGCCCCAUUCCUGGCCCAGCUCCCGCCAGGAGAGAAAUUAACACGCUGGCAGGCGGUGCGCCUCAAGGAUGAGUGCCUCAGCGACUUCAAGCAGCGGCUCAUCAACAAGGCCAACCUCAUCCAAGCCCGCUUUGAGAAGGAGACCCAGGAGCUGCAAAAGAAGCAGCAGUGGUACCAGGAGAACCAGGUGACGCUGACACCCGAGGAUGAAGACCUGUACCUGAGUUACUGCUCUCAGGCCAUGUUCCGCAUUCGCAUCCUGGAGCAGCGCCUCAAUCGACACAAGGAACUGGCCCCACUGAAGUACCUGGCUCUGGAGGAAAAGCUCUACAAGGACCCACGCCUGGGGGAGCUCCAGAAAAUAUUCGCUUGAUGUCCCUCCUGUGGCCUCAGCCAGAGCUGCCAGAGAAAGGAAACCUCUUCCCGCAGCCUGGCUCCUGUGUUCCCUCUACCCAGCCAAUGCCUGUUUAUACAGACACCUGACCUCACUGCCAGCCCACCUCCCCUACAGCCCUGUUUGUUCCUGCUUCUCAUGAUUUUCCUGUAAAUAAACACACUCCUAAUUUGC